CGCGUAGGCGGUUUUUAAGUUCAGAUGUGUAAUCCCCGACGCUUAACUUGGGAACUGCAUCUGAGACUGGAAGGCUAGAGUACUGGAGAGGGUGGUGGAAUUCCUCGUGUAGCGGUGAAAUGCGUAGAGAUGAGGAGGAACACCAGUGGCGAAGGCGGCCACCUGGACAGUAACUGACGCUGAGGCGCGAAAGUGUGGGUAGCAAACAGGAUUAGAUACCCUGGUAGUCCACGCUGUAAACGAUGAACACUUGGUGUGGAGGGAGUUGACCCCUUCCGUGCCGGAGCUAACGCGUUAAGUGUUCCGCCUGGGGAGUACGGUCGCAAGGCUGAA
rnacentral:rRNA from 1 species